rnacentral:rRNA from 1 species
AUUGAACGCUGGCGGCAGGCCUAACACAUGCAAGUCGAACGGUAACAGGAAACAGCUUGCUGUUUCGCUGACGAGUGGCGGACGGGUGAGUAAUGUCUGGGAAACUGCCUGAUGGAGGGGGAUAACUACUGGAAACGGUAGCUAAUACCGCAUAACGUCGCAAGACCAAAGAGGGGGACCCUCGGGCCUCUUGCCAUCGGAUGUGCCCAGAUGGGAUUAGCUUGUUGGUGGGGUAACGGCUCACCAAGGCGACGAUCCCUAGCUGGUCUGAGAGGAUGACCAGCCACACUGGAACUGAGACACGGUCCAGACUCCUACGGGAGGCAGCAGUGGGGAAUAUUGCACAAUGGGCGCAAGCCUGAUGCAGCCAUGCCGCGUGUAUGAAGAAGGCCUUCGGGCUGUAAAGUACUUUCAGCGGGGAGGAAGGGAGUAAAGUUAAUACCUUUGCUCAUUGACGUUACCCGCAGAAGAAGCACCGGCUAACUCCGUG